UUCUACUGCGUUACCGAGUUUCAACUUUUAACCCGAACUCCACCUUCUGUUCUCUCUACUAAAACCCUUUCAUUGCCCUACUGAGGUUCAACCCAAACGCAGCCUACCAUUGCCGCUCGGCCCACAGAGACACAGCCCUGCAACUUCCCUCCUCCUGGCCCAAAGUUCACUCUCUCAUUUUCGCUCUCGCCAUCCAGGAACCCUACUUUCUUCCUCUGGAAGGAGGAUAGCAGGUAAGAAUAGUAUCUCCCCUACUCUCCCCAAUGGAUGGCCCCGGAACCUUUGUCCCCAUCUCUGCCCGACUCCACCCCAAAAAAACCCUAAAAUCCUCACCUGAAUCUAAGUUCUGGUCAUCAUUCAAGACCACGUUCCUAACCUACAACCUCCCUAUCACUUCCAUCAACUUCUGCCCAGAACCCCCUCACGACUUUGUAGUCACCUCCUCCGCGACUCUCUUCACCUUUGAUGGCAUCACCUUCACGCCCAAAUCCACCAUCCGCAAAUUCUCUGACGUUGCAUACUCCGGAACUUUCCGUCCCGAUGGGAAACUGCUUGCUGCUGGCGGAGAGUCUGGCAAUGUCCAAAUCUUCAAUCCCAAGGGAGAUCCCCUUCGCCGCCUCGUGGGCCACGUUCACCCUGUUCAUUAUGUGUCUUAUCCUCACAAUGACAAGCUUCAUAUACUUUCAGGUGGGGAUGAUGGCCUUGUUAAGUGGUGGGAUGUGGCGUCAGAGACUGAGAUUACCACGCUAUCAGGGCAUCGUGACUACAUUCGGUGUGGGUCACCAAGUCCAGCUAGUGAGCACUUGUGGGCAACAGGCUCGUAUGACGACAUGGUGAGGUUGUGGGACCUCAGAAACACGAGCCCUGUCAUGGAGUUGGGUCACGGGAAGCCGGUAGAGGCAGCAGUUUUCCUUCCUUCAGGUGGGUUCUUGGCAACGGCGGGUGGUAAUGUGGUGAAAAUAUGGGACGUCAUUGGUGGGGGAAAGCUAGUCCACACUAUGGAGAGCCAUAAUAAGACUGUGACGUCCCUUUGUGUUGGGAAGGCCUUGGUUCCAGGAGAGAGUGAGCAAUCACGGCUUCUUAGUGUGUCGAUUGAUGGAUACUUGAAGGUCUUUGAUUACAUGUCUUUCAAAGUGGUCCACACUGCAAAGUUCCCAGCUUCUCUACUCUCAGUUGGCAUGUCACCCUCUUCCUCAUGUAGAGUGGCAGGCUCUUCAAAUGGGAGAUUCUUUAUUGGCAAGAGGAAGGGUCAUAAAGUGGAGCCUAAAAAAGAUGGGCCUGAUGAGCUAAUGCUGCCAAUUGAAGGGGUUGGGGAGGAAAACGGGAAGUGGGCCCCGACAAAGCCUUGGCAUCGGGGAUAUUUUCAAAGGGGACAAACUGAGAAACACUCUGAAGGGGACUUGGUUGUGAACCAACCAAAAAGGGUGAGAGUUCCACAGCAUGAUAAGUUGUUGCGAAAAUUUCAUCACAAGGAAGCUUUUGUAUCGGCCUUGAACUCCAAUAACCCGGAGGUUGUGGUGCCUGUGAUGGAGGAAUUAGUGGCAAGGAAGGCCAUGGUGAGGUCUGUUAUGAAUUUGGAUUUGGAGGAACUUGAAUUGCUGAUGAAGUUCUUGGAUAAAUAUGUGACAUUGCCGAGAUACGCAGGGCUCCUAAUGAGGUUUGCUGAGAGGGUGCUUCAGUUGCGUGGGGAGGAUAUUGAAGGUUCAGAGGAGUUGACAUACCAUGUUUUACGAUUGAAAGGUAUGGUAAGCGAAGAGAUUCAAAUACAACGCUCACUCCUGGAGAUACAAGGGAUCAUUUCACCAAUACUGAGAAUGGCUGGGAGAUAGUUCUAUUGUAUGGACAUUAUCAUGACAAGUAAGGGAUGGAAUCGUCUGGUGGCUUUCAGGGCAUGGAAAUCAAGCACAUUAAAGAAAAACUCGCAACACCAUUGAGGAGGGGCAUUUCAUAUCCUAAGUAAUUGUUUGAAUAUUCUAUCGAAGUGAGAAUCUUGGUUCUAUACAAACCAGAGGAAGUGAUGAGGAUCCCACCCAAGUGAGAGAGAGAGAGAGACCCUUUGCUUAGUGGCUGUCAUCAGCUAGGUUUGGUAGAUGUAGAGACGUAGGGGGUAAUAAUUAUGGAAAAUUUAUCAGAACACACUCUAGAGAUUCACCUCGCCAUUGAACAUUUUAUCAUUGCUUUUGUCCUCUCUCCAAGAAGCCCAAAAAAUACACGUCACAAGGGGUCACACUAAUGGAAUGGAAGUUCCUAUUUCGCCCUUCCAAACCUAUGUGAGAUAUUUGUAUUUGGAAUACGAAUCCCUUACUCUAAACGUUCGAGAUUAGUGUUCAUAAAUUCCAAUACCAAUAGCUCAAGAGUGAGUGAGAUAUUGGUGUAAAAACAACAGUAUUUGCACGUGUGGUGGCUUAUUGAGAUAUUGAGGUUAAA